rnacentral:misc_RNA from 1 species
GUUGUGUUACAGUUCUACUUGAACAAACACGGUAUUGUCAGAUAACUCAUUUUACAAACGGUAGCUACAGCUCAAACAAACAAAAGAAACAGUUACACUCUUCGUUGAGUAGGGGGAGACGUCAAGGGCUCAAGGCGAUCACUUCUCAGUGACGCCAGCAGCUGCUUCCACCUGAUUCGUCUCAUCUUCCAACGAGGAGUACGAAGAAAAC